GUGAGAGCAAUGAACAAUGGGAAUUGUUGUCAUUGUGAUGGUGACCUCAGGUUUCGUUUUAGUGAACAGUCCACCGAUAUUGAUCAAAGGCCCGUCUUCCACUGAAGUGAAGUCUGCUCCGAUGACAUACUGCUGUGGAGAAAUCUCUCUGGGUAAGAGCCCAUACCCUAAUGUUGUGGUGGACACCCGGUUCUACAAGGUUAUCAAAGAUGGGAUGCCACAUGUCUCAUGACCAGACUUUGCCUUUCCAGAGAUGUACACUAUAAUGGAGAUGUGCUAGAACCUGGAGCCAAUAGUGUAUCUAAACUUCAGUAACAUUGGUCAGCUUAUCCAGAGGCUACUGCUUGACCAGCCAGACCAGGUGAGUGACCAAGGACCUAAAUUAAGUAGAGAGUCUGUGUAUCCUAUUGUCACAUUGUGUUGUUUUUACCUUACAUCAAAACUUACCAAAUUAACAAAAUCAGUGGAGGUUGUUU